CUUGAGAGCACUCGUUCGUGAGAAGUUCUGAGGGCAUAAAUAGCAAUGAAAUGGCAUUUCUCUUCUGUGGAUGCACAGAUGUUGCUUUAGGUUAACUUUUUGUAAAAAGCUCUGAGGGCACUGAAAUGGCCUUUUGGCUUUGUGAGUGUGCAGGUGUUGCUUCAGCUUGAACGUUCGUGAAAAGUUCCGAAGGCACAAAUGGAAUUCAAACACACGCUGGCCGGCAUGGAUCCUGGUGAGCACUUCAGGUCACAGUUUAUCCAUCUCAUAGACACAGGAGUUACAGCGGGGUGGUAUCCUUCAUGUAACUGCACCAUCUGCAUUUGCUGGACAGCUGGAAUGCUUCAAUGCUGCACCAAGAAAACAAGACAGGUUACCCAAGUAAUGCUUUUCAUUUAAAAAUAAAAAUGUAAUUAUACAAU
rnacentral:lncRNA from 1 species